rnacentral:tRNA from 1 species
GGCUGCAUAGCUCUGUGGUAGAGUGUGUGCUUAGCAUGCAGGAGGUCCUGGGUUCAAUCCCCAGUACCUCCA